rnacentral:rRNA from 1 species
CCUGGCUCAGGACGAACGCUGGCGGCGUGCUUAACACAUGCAAGUCGAGCGGAAAGGCUCCUUCGGGGGUACUCGAGCGGCGAACGGGUGAGUAACACGUGAGUAAUCUGCCCUGCGCUCUGGGAUAGCCACCGGAAACGGUGAUUAAUACCGGAUAUGACCGCUACACGCAUGUGUUGGUGGUGGAAAGUUUUUCGGCGCAGGAUGUGCUCGCGGCCUAUCAGCUUGUUGGUGAGGUAAUGGCUCACCAAGGCUUUGACGGGUAGCCGGCCUGAGAGGGUGACCGGUCACACUGGGACUGAGACACGGCCCAGACUCCUACGGGAGGCAGCAGUGGGGAAUAUUGGACAAUGGGCGGAAGCCUGAUCCAGCAACGCCGCGUGAGGGAUGACGGCCUUCGGGUUGUAAACCUCUUUCAGUACCGACGAAGCGA